GUGGACGUGCCGGAGUGGUUAUCGGGCAUGACUAGAAAUCAUGUGGGCUGUACAUGCGGAUUUUGGAAUCCUGCCGUUCACG